ACAUGUAUACGUAUAUAUAUCUAAAGAAUACUGGUAGAAAAUUUUCAACUAAACUUCUACCAACUGCAAAUGUAACAGGAGGCUUGAUAUUGUUACUGGGGUCACUUCCCUGCAGAUGUGAACAUCCUUUCCAUUAUCAGUGAGACGGAUAACAUUUAUGAACAACUGCUUCAAAACCUUAAACUCCUCCUCCCUGAUUAUAAAUUCAUAUUUAUACCAAUAAUUAUUAGUUUUACUUGUUAUGUUAGUAAAUACUCAAAUGACAAUUUGAAAAAGCUAGAAUUUUCAGGCAAACAAAGAGACCAGCGAACACACAGUUUACAAAUACAACCUCUAAGUGGAACAGUAAAAAUAUGCAAAACUUUUCUAAAGUUCAACCUGUAGCAUUUAUUGUUGUUAUUUAAGUUCCAGUGAUGGCGCUUUGUUUCUUUGUUAGAAAUCAACUCCUUUCUUUUAGGAAGGAUUCAAAUAGAAACAAAGAAACAUACAUAAAUACAUGUACACACACACACAAUGAAAGUUAGUUCAAUAAUGAUAAUGACCAUUGCUUGUUAAAGGAUCACAAAGUGAAUGACUUUAUGGCCCAGUUGAUUACCUGCAGUUUUUACUACAACUAUUACAUAAAUGUCUCUUCUCAGUUAAAUGCAAUGCAGAAUCAUAGCAAUUUGUCUUGUGUACAGAUAUACAUCUCCUCAAACCACAAUUUAGAACAUGACUGGCACAAAUAAACUCUUAUGUGGUUAUGAUUUAUUAUUAGUUUAAGGCAGUGAGCUGGCAGAAUUAUUAGCAUGACAGACACAAUGCUUAAUAGUAUUUCUUCUGGCUCUUUAUAUCCUGGGUUCAAAUCCCACCAAGAUCACCUUUGCUUUCUAUCCUUUUGGGGUUGAUAAAAUGAAGUACUAGUUGAGCUCUGGGAUCAGUGUUAUUGAGUUGCACUCUCCCCUAAAAUUUUUGGCUUCCUAUCAAAAUUUGAAACCAUUAUUAGCUUGUUUUGGUUCAUGCAUUCUUGAGAGUCUAAAAGAACCAGUCUUUGAAAGACAAACUUGGUUAGAAGUUGAACAUGUGAAAUAGUUUUUUUCCUGUAAAUCUCAUUUAAAAUUUGUGUGUUGAAUGCAAUUCUCUUCAAAAUACAUGAAUACAUUCAAUAUUUUUUUCUCUGUGAUGCCCUCUCAAUUGCAAUACUUUUCCAACUUCCCAUAUGAAUAUUGCAUUUUUGUAAAUAAGAUUUAAGGCAGUGUUUGUAUUUUAAGUCCAGUUUAUAGAGAGGUCUUUUUAUCUAGAACAUAGUUCUCCACAAAGAAAUGCUUUGGAAUCCUUCCAUCUUCCAUCCAAACUCUGUGGCAUGUCCAUCCCAGUCUGUUAUGUCACAAGAGAACUUCUAUGCUUACACCAUAUGCUUUUACCAAGACAUCAACAUCACUCACCUCAUCUCUCUAAGAUGUAUGCAAAAAUUUGACAAACACACCUUUGCUGAAAUCACUCCAACUGUUUAACAUAUUUUCAAUCUAAUGUCCAUAUUUCACAGCCAUACAACAAAAGACAAAAUGCAUGUUACAAAAAUACAUAUUUUACUGUCAUAUGUUAAGACAGUCUUUGUAUGUUAACUUCAGUUUAUAAAGAAGUCAUUUUAACCCAGUUCAUCACCUGCAACAUUUACCACAGCUAUUGCUUCAGUGUCUCUUCUUCUCAGUUAAAUGCAAUGCAGGAUAAAGACAACUGACAAUUGAAAACAGUUCAGAAACAUGUCUCUUCAAAUCACCAACAGAAAGACAACAUAUAUUACAAUUGUUUUUUUGAUAUUGAAACAAUAAUAAGGAUUGUAAUUUUCUAAAAGUUACGUUGAUUUUUAAAAACUUUAUUUCUAAUUUCAUCAGCAAAAUUCACAUCCCCAUUCAACAUAUAAAGGAAUAUACAUUUUAACAUUAUAACUGUUUUUUGGAUCCACACAAAGCUUUUCGGAGCAGAGCUGAUAAAGAACAGUUUUGUUAACAUUUAUUGUGAGGUGUAACAUGCUAAAGGCCAAUGAAACUUCAUCCACAAGAGUUUGAAGAUCUUUUUCCCUGUGUGUAAUAACACUGGAAUCAUCAUCACAGAGUACAGAAGAAAGCCUCUCAUCAAAGAAACAAAAGUGUGAUUUAGAAUUAACCCUUUUGGUAAAAAAAUUACCUCACAGCACUGAUCGUUCUCUGAUGUGAAUUUUAUGUUCUAAAGUGAGCAAAAUUAAAAGCUUCCAUCAAAAUUUCAUGGUAGUUUGUGUUUCAAACACCAGAUUAAUAAUGACAGUUACUUCACUAAAUUCCUCAUCAUUUUCAAAAUUAAUUGUAACAAAGGUUGUGUUUUUCGACAGAAAUACGGUAACAAAAGGGUUAAAGUGAUCUAGAUUAAAACUUUCCAUCAAAGUUUCAUGUUAACUUUGUCCCAAACACCAAAUUAAUAACGACAAAGUUAUUUUACUAAAUUCUUUUAUUAUUUCAAGUAUUAAUUGAAACAAAGGCAAUAUAUUUCAAUAGAAAUAUGGUAACUAAAGGAUCAAGCUGUCUGAGGUUGAAUAAAUUACCAGUUGUGUGGUAGCAUAUGUAAAUAUUCUAAGAGUCUUCUAUGAAAGGGAUGAAAAAAAAGCUAUUGUGAAAUAUACUGCAAAGAUGAAGCCAUAUUAUUCCAUCACAGACUGAAAACUAGUCUGAGCAUUCCAACAUAUAAUCAUAUAUCAACAUAAAAGGAUUUAAUAAUGUCUAUAAAUUUAUCAGGGUAACCAACUUCUGAGAAUUACCCAUAAUGCAUCAGAAUUCAUUGAGGUCAAUGAAACAAUGCUAGAGGUCAAGUGUCUGCCCAAUGCUUUUUUUUUUUUUUUGUUCUUGAAAAUGGUGAAACAAAAAUAUGUCAUUGUUUGGUUUCAGGUCCAUGGAAGAAGGAAUAGUUGUGUGUAUUGAAUGAGACAAUGAAGAACAAUAUUUUCUCUACAUACAUACAUACAUACAUACGCACACAAACAUUACAUACACAGACAUGCUAAUAUGCAAAUGUACAAGUAUAUAUAUGAACAUACAUGCGCACAUCAAGACAUACAUACAUAUGAAUAUACAUACAUAAAUAUAUACAAACAUACAUAGCUACAGACAUACACAAAUAGAUACAUUCAAACAUACCCAGAUACAUUUCUAACAUAUCUACAAAGGAAUAUACAUACACAGACACACAGAGAAAUAUACAUCCUAUGUACAUGCAUGCAUGCAUAGAUAACAUGCAUAGAUAACAUGCAAACAUACAUAAAUAAUUAUGAAUUCACCUUCAUACCAAUUAUGAUUGGUGCACUUGGUUGUGCAAAUAUAUGUCUAAGUGAUAAACCAAGGAUUUUAAGGCCAAGAAAGAGAUUGGCUAAAAUAAACUUUACAAAUACAAUUUGUAAGUGGAACAGUAAAAAUAUGCAAGACUUUUGUAAACAUGUAACAUGUUUUUGUUGUUGUUGUUAUCCAAAUUCCAGUGAUGGAGCUUUGGUUUUUUGUUGGAAACCAGUCUUUUUUUUUUUUUCUUGCAGGAAAAAUUCUAAUAAAUGAAAACAGAGCAUACAUAAAUACAGACAUACAUAUAUGCACACAUAUGUAUAUACACAAAUAUACAUACACAAAUAAUACAUGCAUAUACACACACACACAUAUAGUGAUAGAUAGAUAGAUAGAUAGAUAGAUAGAUAGAUAUACCUAACCCUGAAUAAGAAAUGAUACAUAAAAUACUAUAGUUCGAGAUAAAAGACAGGAUGAUCAUGCCUGGAAUGCUUUUGAUUCCAAGUUCAAAUCCCGUUAUGACCUAUGUGAUAGGUAGACUGAAUCCCUUGCAGAUUUAGUCCCACCACCUAACACUUGGCUGCCUUUAGGAAUCAAGUUCAGGUCUCAGGACAUCUUCCUUCUUACAUCCCUCCCACCACUCCUGGACGCUCUGUAAGGGGUCAUGAGAAGUGCUUUCUCUUCUGACUUAAAGGUGGGGGAACCCUUACUUCUCAACCACAUGGUUUGGGCUUCAGUCCCACUGCAUGGCACCUUAGGUAAGUUUUCUACUAUAGUCUCAAGCUAACCAAAGCCUUGUGAAUGGAUUUGGUCGAUGGAAACUGAAAGAAUCUCAACGUGUGUGUGUGUGUGUGUGAGACCACUGCUUGACAACCGGUGUUGGGGUUUUUACGUCCCUGUAACUUAACGAUUUGACAAAAGAGACUAACAGAAUAAGUACCAGGCUUUUAACAAAAAUACUGGAAUCGAUUCAUUUGACUAAAAUUCUUCAAGGCGAUGCUCCAGCGUGGCCGCAGUCUAAUGACUGAAACAAGUAGAAGAUAAAAAUUUAAGUCUGUUUUGCUAAGUAUUAACAAAAGAUAUCUAGAGUUAUCUCCCAUACUUAUGAGAAUUUUUUUUUUUCUUCUAAUUAGGUAGAAGACCAACAACUUGCAUAUUUAUUUUUCGGUGGAAGGUUGAGGUUAAUAAUUAAUCAAUAAUUACAUUGAGAUCCAGUAGUUGACAGAUACAUUAUUGACCUUGGAUGAAAGCCAAUGCUGACUUCAGCAGAAUUUCAACUUAUAAACUCAGAUCGUAAGAACCAGAAGAAAUACAGAAAGUUCGAUACAUCAACCUUCAGUAACGAAAUCAAGGAGUUCAUUGAUCUGUGACUAUUGUGCACGUUACAGACAUUCCUAAGUAUACUCAACAAUACAAUUACAAGCAUACAAUUAUGUACACACACACACACACACACACAGAGGCUUAGAUACAUAGAAACAUAUAACUACACACACAAAAACAUACAUACACACACGCAUUGAAGAAAUUCUCUUUUACAGUUUUACCUUCCCUAAUUUAUUUAGUUUAAUCAGAAUCCCACAACUAUCAUGGAUAAAGGCAGGAACGAAAUUUGCUUCGUGGGUACAAACCCAGUGUUUUUAGGAGGACGUUCAAAGCAUUUUCAUUGCCCUCCACCAUAUUUGAGGGGGAGCAGUUGCCCUCUCUUUACCCCCUGUUCCCAAGCCUAUGUUAUCGUGUGACUUAUGUAAAGUGACACUAUAGAGCAACGUUUUUCAAAUUUUGUUUUACCAUCAAUAAGGAUAAAAACAGAGACAGAGAUUGUCUAAAAUUUUUUAAAUUGCUAAAAUUGAAAUGUUUACUUGUUAAUGAAACAUAAACAGUGAGAUCAAAAGGUCACAAAUUUUGACUUAUUUCUCUAAAUAUUUAAUAUUGGUUUCAAAUUUUGGCACAAGGCCAGUAGACCUAAAUAUUUGAUAUUAAAAUCUAAAUGUAGACACAGGCAUGGUUGUAUGUUUAGAAGCUCAGUUUGCAAUCUCAUGGUUUCAGGUUCAAUUCCAUUGUGCAGCACCUUGGGCAAAUGUCUUCUGUAGUCUCAGGCCAACCAAUGCCUUGUAAAUGAAUUUGAUUGACGGAAACUGCAUAGAAGCUUGUCAUAUAUAUGUUAGUGUUUGUCCCCCCACCACCACUUGCCAACAAGUGUUAGUUUGUUUACAUCCCGAUCGAAAUUAAGUAGCUUAAAAAUAAGCACCAAUCAAGUACUGUGGUCAAUGUAAUUGACUUACCCCUUUCCCUCAAGAAUGCUGGCUUUGAACCUUGGGACAAACCAACCUCUCAAUCGAGGGAAUGUUGUGGUUUAUAUCACUUAUAUGCCAUGGAAACUGAGUAACUGGCCUUAGUAUUUCUAGGACCCAAGAAAAACGAAAACAUAAUACCAUGAAACAACCAUAGUAAAGGAACAGUGAUUAGAGACAUCACUUUAUGUCAGCAUGGCAAAUAUGAAUGACACUAAGUGAAAUUAGAGAAUAAUGAGUGUAACUUUUAAUGUAGAUCGGCACCACUUCACUAACUUGGUCUACAUGCUUACAUGUGAAAUGAAAUGUUUGUGUAACCCAAUAGAUUAUGAGACUUAGUAAAAUGUGAAUCAGACUUGUGUGCCUCCUGGGGUCAGAUAAACUUUAAAUCUAAAUCGGUUUUAAUUGAUACUAAAAUGAAAGCAGCACAUAAUAUGGUAAAAUGUAUUUCUAAAUAUCACACACACACACAUGUGUGCAUGUAUGUAUCAUCAUCAUCUUUUAAUGUUCUAUCCAACCCAUGUUUGGUUUGACAGAAUUCACUGAGUCCAAGGACUGUAACAUGCUUCAAUAUUUCUUUUGGCAUGGUUCCUGUCGCUGGAAACCCUUCCUAAUACCAACCACUUUACAAAGUGUGCUGGAUGCAUUUUUUCAUGGCACCAGCACGAGUGAAGCUGUCAUGUAACUCACCAGAUUAUGAUCCUAUCAACUGAGUGGGACUACAGUAGAGAGCAAGGUGGCUUUAUGCUAAAUGAUAAAGGAAAGGACUAGAACAAACUUCUCGCUCUAGAGGAGGCACUUGGCUGCUCUCGUUAUACAAGAGUAAUCAAUAUCUAUGUUUUUAAAUAUGUAUAUCUAUAUAUAGUAAAUAAGAAUAAAACAAAUGGAUAUUCCAGAGUAUCACUACAUGGGUUCCAAUAACAUUUAUUCCGAACACAAGUAGAAUGGCCAAAUUAAAUAGGUAACUUUAUCAGAGUUCAUGUUGUUACAAGCUACCAUUACUUCAGGAGAUUCCUUGCCAACUAUUUUGGUGACAUGCUUGUUUUUAUGUCAAGUUGUAUACAAAACAAUUUAGCAUUAAACCGAAGGAUUAGACAACAUAUUUUAGUGGAGUACAUAUUUAUUAACUUUCAUGUGGAAAGGUUUGACAAGUCAAAACUUUCAAAUAACAAUCAAACUUUCCCUUGUAAAAGUUUAUUGCACACAUACAUAAUAUAUACACUGACUAGUAAAAUAAAUAAAUAUGUACAUUCCGAGCAUCUUCUUCCUUGGUCUUCAAUUGAAGAUUAAAGCCUCUAAUCCUGUCGAGAUUUAUCUAGAAAUGAUAAUCUCCCUUACAAUAACUGGCCACCAAGGCACAUCACAGAUUGAUUAGUGACAGAGGCAGUAGUAAUAUCAUGGAUGUCUUGUUAGAAUGCCAAAUACUGUGGUAUUCACCUCAAGAUCAUCUCAUGUAGACACAGGGUGCAUAAACGCACAGACAUAUAUCAUAGCAGACAAGAAUCAUCUGUUAUGGGUGCUAGAACAGCUAGAUAAUAGGAUUUCAGUCAACUGAAUUUCCUCAGUGAUAGAUGUCCAGUGACCACAUACCAGCCAAAUCUCGCUGCCUGAUAUAUAAAAUUUCAGUGUCUUUUCAGUCACUUAUGUUGCAAAUAACCAUCAGGCUUAUUAAAAAGUAAUUAUUGUAUUAAUACCAAAUGGUAAUCUUUAUAUUUAUGAUGUGCAUGUUUGUGUCAGUGAGAGAGAGAGACUGUUAGAGACAAAUAUUUUUCAGUGUAUAUAGCAACUAAGGUAAAAUGGAAUAUAUCCUUGCCUCAUUGUCUUAACAAGAUGUCUUUGAUGUGGUCAACUGCUACUUUUUCUAUCUCAAUCAUUGGUGUUCACAGUAGAUAUCACAUCUGUUAACAUAAGAUUCUUGCAUCUGUUACCAGAAAAUAUUACAUCUGCCAACAACAAUGUAUGACAUUUGUUGACAUAAGGCAUAUGACAUCUGUCAAUAAAAAUCCAUUACAACUGUCAACAUAGUUCAGCACCAAUUUAGCCCUCAUCCCAUUCCUUUGUUAGUAAUAAAUGCAAUUAUACAUCACCUCAAUUAGCCUCACUAAUUAUUGUGUCCAGACGUCAUUUUUAUACUGUUGACCAAUUUUAUUAAAUAGUUUAGGACUACACACACACAUAUAUGAGUGUGUAUAUAUAUACAUAUACUCAUAUAUUACAUGCAUGUAUGUGCAUGCAUAUGUGUGCGUGUAUGUAUGUAUAUAUAUAUAUAUAUAUAUAUAUAUAUAUAUAUGAACUCAUACAUAUAUAUACAAAUAUAUAUAUGCAUAUGUUUUAUGUAUAUAAAUGUACAAACAUAUAUAAAUGUAUGCACAUAUAUUACACACACACAAAUAUGCAUGUGAGUAUGUGGUGAUUGUGAGUGUGUGUAGUUGGGCACCACAUGUACAUACACCACAUGUACAUACACCACAUGUACAUACACCAAUAAACAUCUGUUAUUUCACAUUUCAUUUUAUAUCUUUUAUAAUUUUAAACACUUGUUAGAUUUAUUUACAUUUGUUAUUUUAUAAUUGUUGUUUAGAAAUAAUGAUUCUUUACUAUUCUAAUUAAUUGUUAACAUUUGUUCAAACAUUGUUUCUACGAAAUAAAAACACAUUCAUUGCUCAGAAUUAAAGAUAAAUCUAUUAAGA